CCUGGGAAGUACGGCCGCAAGGCUGAAACUUAAAGGAAUUGGCGGGGGAGCACAACAACGGGUGGAGCCUGCGGUUUAAUUGGACUCAACGCCGGACAACUCACCGGGGACGACAGCAAUAUGUAGGCCAGGCUGAAGACCUUGCCUGAAUCGCUGAGAGGAGGUGCAUGGCCGUCGCCAGUUCGUACUGUGAAGCAUCCUGUUAAGUCAGGCAACGAGCGAGACCCGUGCCCACUGUUACCAGCAUGUCCUCCGGGAUGAUGGGUACUCUGUGGGGACCAGCCGGUGUUAAAUCGGAGGAAGGUGCGGGCUAC
rnacentral:rRNA from 1 species